rnacentral:rRNA from 1 species
GGGUUUUGCGACUGGUUCGUGAAACCUUUGCGGGCUCUGUUUCCUAUACACACGUUGUGUAGGUUAUAUCUCGUCCUCUUCGGAGGUGCGCUUACGGGCGUAAUUGGUUUUCACUUUGGCCUGAGUCGGAUAUCAAAUCCCUCGAGUUACAGUACUCCUGUGCUCGUUGGGAUCAUUCGAUGAAGGUGGGCCUUUCGUAUAGCUCCGCUUUGAUGUCGUGAGCAAAUCGGAUUGCUUAAGGAAAGCAGGUUGGGAGUCACCUUCGGGUGUUUCCUUUCCGUGUUUGAACGUUAUAGCAUGAUACAUCAAAGCAGCUAAAUCGAGAUUGAUCCUUUCGGGGUGAAAUCUUGGUUUGGCGUGUGUAAAGGGACAUAUUCAAGUGCAGAGUAUUUGUGGGAUAAGGGUAAAAUCUAGUGACCCCACAAAGACUUCCUAAGGCGAAAGCACUGCGCUAGGAUUUGUUCGUCAGCGAUGAACGAGAGUCAAGGGAACAAAGAUGAUUAGAUACCGUCGUAGUCUUGACUGUAAACGAUGCCAGCAGAACACAUUCGUUCGAAAUUAUCCGUUUUUCGGAUCGAACGAGGGUUCAACAGAAAUGAAAAGCCUUUCGGUUAGAGGGGUAGUAUGAUCGCAAGGUUGAAACUUAAAGGAAUUGACGGAAAAGCACCACCAGGUGUGGAAUCUGCGGCUUAAUUCGACUCAACACGGGAAAGCGUACCGAGAUAGAACGCGAGAAUGAUUGACAGACUACAGCUCUUUCUUAAUUUCGUGGAAAGUGGUGCAUGGCCAUUCUUAGUUCGUGAAGUGAUUUGUCUUGUUUAUUCAGAUAACGAGCGAGACCCUUUCCGAAUGUAUGAAACGAUUGUUCUUCGGAACCUUCGAAAUGACUUCGGUCAUUUUUUCCUUUCGGUAUUCUCCAGCGAAACAAAGCUGUUGAAAGAAAUCGGGACAAUAAUAGGUCUGUGAUGCCCUUAGAUACCUCGGGAUGCACGCGUAUUACAAUGACUGGCACAACGAGUGUUAACUGACCAUCUUCGGAUGCGUCAGUUCCUUUUUCGAAAGAAAUGGGAAAUCUCUCAACGCCAGCCGAGGUUAGGAUUGCAUCUUGUAAGAGAUGCAUGAAUUAGGAAUACCUUAUAAUGAUGAUUCACUAUGUUAUCGUGAAUACGUCCCUGCUUUUUGUACACACCGCCCGUCGCAUCAAGGAACGCAGUUGAAGCAAUGAAGCUAGUGGAUUCACGGUCUUCGGAUCGGAAGAAGC